GAAUGAGAAGAUUCAGUAUUUUACCAUUUGGUCGACCAUUACAUUAUAUUAUGUGAUAAUUUUUAAUAUCUUGUAUAUUAAUAUUACACUAAUUUGUUUUGAGAUUUGGCUAUGGAGAUAUGCACUUCUUCUCUAGUAGGACGUUGCAACCCAUUGGAUGUUAAUCUAAGGUCCCUUAUGGUAGCCUAUUUUAUAUAUAUUUCGGUAUAUGUGAUUUAGACCUUAGGUGUUUGCCUGAUUAACUUGUUCGAUGGUAUGUCAUUAUAAUAUGGGGUCGCCUAUAUGGCAUUUAACUUUUUUUCAAGUGUGUAUGGAUUAAAUUUUGGCUAUCAGACCUAGUCUGGUACUGAAACCAUUACCACUGUUUGAAAAUUAUGUUGUAAUUAAAUUGACCUUUUAUAUUGGUUAGCAACGCUUUU
rnacentral:rRNA from 1 species